CCUACGGGAGGCAGCAGUGAAGAAUAUUGGUCAAUGGGAGAGAUCCUGAACCAGCCAAGCCGCGUGAGGGAAGACGGCCCUAUGGGUUGUAAACCUCUUUUGUCGGAGAACAAAACCCGGGACGUGUCCCGGACUGCGUGUAUCCGAAGAAAAAGCAUCGGCUAACUCCGUGCCAGCAGCCGCGGUAAUACGGGGGAUGCGAGCGUUAUCCGGAUUUAUUGGGUUUAAAGGGUGCGUAGGCGGUCCGUUAAGUCAGCGGUAAAAUUGCGGGGCUCAACCCCGUCGAGCCGUUGAAACUGACAGACGUGAGUUGGCGAGAAGUACGCGGAAUGCGCGGGGUAGCGGUGAAAUGCAUAGAUAUCGCGCAGAACUCCGAUUGCGAAGGCAGCGUACCGGAGCCAGACUGACGCUGAGGCACGAAAGCGUGGGGAUCGAACAGGAUUAGAUACCCCGGUAGUC
rnacentral:rRNA from 1 species